GUCUGCUGGUACAUUUUAUGCUCUCAGCUUUUGUGACAUCAUCAGACUUCGGACGAGGGCCCCGGAGAAAGGCCCUCCAGCUGCGCGUGGCCAGGUGGAAAGGCAGCCACCUGGGACACAGGGUCGGGUGAGAUGGCUGUGAGCAGCGCACAACUGUGACCCUGGCUGGAUGCCACACUGGCGCUGUGAAUGUGAUGGAUGAAGAAGGGAGAGGAAAGGAAGGGAGGCUGCUAAUGCCACACAACAGUGGAAAUGACAAGAAGCCUCACACACAGGACGAAAGGAGUCAAAGAAUACGAGCUUCUCCCCGAGGGAAAGAAGACAACAGAAAAGACUAGUAUUUAUGACAGAAGUUUUAAUGGACAAUCUCUACUAAUCGAGACUGUGGAUUUAGCAUAUGCUCUCCAUCUCUUCUGCAACCCAGGUGAACUAAUGUCCACAUUGUCCUGGAUGCUCCAGGUGAACAGGCUACUGUGUAGAAUGUUCAUUAGACAAUAGUAUCUGCUUCUCAGGAAGUUGGCAGUGUUUGUAUCCAGACUGGUUUACUCCGUCUAUACGUGCUAGUGUAAUCAUGUGAUUUAAUUAACUAUUCUGUAAACCAAUACCAUCGAAGCGCAAAAAGAAGGUUAUUCUUGCUAAGAAAACUAAGUGGGAUGCUUUGGAAAGAUUCGAGAUUCCGAUUUCCUUAAAAAUGCCACAUAGUUAGGAUCGGUGAGGCAAAUUUAAGAGGCUGGAAUACAUAACAAAAGUCUAGAAAGAUCCCGUAGCCAGAUUACUUCCCAGACAUCAAAGUUCUUAUUGAUGUUAAAUAAGGAUGGAAUUUAUAGAUGUUCUACUAUAGGAGAGGUCUGUGCUGGUAAAAGUAUGACCCUUAAUCAGAAAAAGAUCUUCCCCCCUCUAUCAGGACAUUUGCAAACCAAUGUGUGUGCAUAUAUUCUACAUUAAAAUAAAAUGUAUCUUUUUGUUCUUA